CAGUCGCCACGGGAAUACGUAGGUGGCAAGCGUUGUCCGGAAUUAUUGGGCGUAAAGCGCGCGCAGGUGGUUUAAUAAGUCUGAUGUGAAAGCCCACGGCUCAACCGUGGAGGGUCAUUGGAAACUGUUAAACUUGAGUGCAGGAGAGAAAAGUGGAAUUCCUAGUGUAGCGGUGAAAUGCGUAGAGAUUAGGAGGAACACCAGUGGCGAAGGCGGCUUUUUGGCCUGUAACUGACACUGAGGCUCGAAAGCCAGGGGAGCGAACGGGAUUAGAUACCCCAGUAGUCCCUGUCUCUUAUAC
rnacentral:rRNA from 1 species